CGGCUCUGUCAAUCAAGAGCUCUAGGAAAGGAUUGGCCCCUAGCAAUCAGCCCGCAGCCUGUUCAGCAAGAUUGGGACACAGAUCUUUUCCAGAUACCCUCACUAUUUUUUCUCAUCUGUAUUUUGUCUGGGUAGACAUGGACCAACAAGGGAGAGGUGAAAGCACGUAGCACAUUACCUGGCACUUAGUCUGACAAAAUUAUAUUUGAUGAAUUGACCUGAAAACUGACAAAAGAAAACUCACUCUGUUUUUUCCUCUGUGAUAAUAUUGCUUG